UACGUAGGUGGCAAGCGUUGUCCGGAUUUACUGGGCGUAAAGGGCGCGUAGGCGGCUCGUGAAGUCGGGUGUGAAAGCCCGGGGCUCAACCCCGGAACGGCAUCCGAUACUGGCGGGCUCGAGACCGGGAGAGGAGGGUGGAAUACCCAGUGUAGAGGUGAAAUUCGUAGAUAUUGGGUGGAACACCGGUGGCGAAGCGGCUCUCUGGCCCGGAUCUGACGCUGAGGCGCGAAAGCGUGGGGAGCAAACAGG
rnacentral:rRNA from 1 species